rnacentral:rRNA from 1 species
GGGUCAGAUUGAACGCUGGCGGCAUGCUUUACACAUGCAAGUCGAACGGCAGCACGAAAGAGCUUGCUCUUUUGGUGGCGAGUGGCGAACGGGUGAGUAAUACAUUGGAACGUACCGAGUAAUGGGGGAUAACUGUCCGAAAGGAUGGCUAAUACCGCAUACGCUCUGAGGAGGAAAGCGGGGGACCUUCGGGCCUCGCGUUAUUCGAGCGGCCAAUGUUUGAUUAGCUAGUUGGUGGGGUAAAGGCCUACCAAGGCGACGAUCAGUAGUGGGUCUGAGAGGAUGAUCCGCCACACUGGGACUGAGACACGGCCCAGACUCCUACGGGAGGCAGCAGUGGGGAAUUUUGGACAAUGGGCGAAAGCCUGAUCCAGCCAUGCCGCGUGUCUGAAGAAGGCCUUCGGGUUGUAAAGGACUUUUGUCAGGGAAGAAAGGGUUUGGGUUAAUACCCUGAGCUUAUGACGGUACC